rnacentral:rRNA from 1 species
GUGAGGAAUUUUCCGCAAUGGGCGAAAGCCUGACGGAGCAAUGCCGCGUGAAGGAUGAAGGCCUAUGGGUUGUAAACUUCUUUUCUCAGAAAAGAAUUAUGACGGUAUCUGAGGAAUAAGCAUCGGCUAACUCUGUGCCAGCAGCCGCGGUAAGACAGAGGAUGCCAGCGUUAUCCGGCAUGAUUGGGCGUAAAGCGUCUGUAGGUUGUUUAAAAAGUAUUCUGUCAAAGAUUAGGGCUUAACCCUAGAUAGGCAGAAUAAACUUUUAAGCUAUAGUUUGGUAGAGGCAGAGGGAAUUCCCGGUGGAGCGGUGAAAUGCGUAGAUAACGGGAGGAACACCAAAGGCGAAGGCACUCUGCUGGGCCAAUACUAACACUGAGAGACGAAAGCGAGGGGAGCAAAUGGGAUUAGAUACCCCGGUAGUCC